CCCAGACUCCUACGGGAGGCAGCAGUGGGGAAUAUUGCACAAUGGGGGGAACCCUGAUGCAGCGACGCCGCGUGGGUGAAGGAGUACUUCGGUACGUAAAGCCCUAUCAGCAGGAAAGAAAAUGACGGUACCUGACUAAGAAGCCCCGGCUAACUACGCGCCAGCAGCCGCGGUAAUACGUAGGGGGCAAGCGUUAUCCGGAUUUACUGGGUGUAAAGGGAGCGUAGACGGCAGUGCAAGUCCGGAGUGAAAGCCCGGGGCUCAACCCUGGGACUGCUCUGGAAACUGUAAAGCUGGAGUGCGGGAGGGGCAGGCGGAAUUCCUGGUGUAGCGGUGAAAUGCGUAGAUAUCAGGAGGAACACCGGCGGCGAAGGCGGCCUGCUGGACCGUAACUGACGUUGAGGCUCGAAAGCGUGGGGAGCAAACAGGAUUAGAUACCCUUGUA
rnacentral:rRNA from 1 species